rnacentral:rRNA from 1 species
UAUGUGAUCGUCUCUCGCAUAUCAAUAAGCGGAGGAAAAGAAACUAACAAGGAUUCCCCUAGUAACGGCGAGUGAAGCGGGAAGAGCUCAAAUUUGAAAUCUUAAAGGGUUUCCCUUUACGAAUUGUAGUUUAAAGAAGUGUUUUCUGUUGAGGUUUUGGUAAAAGUUCUUUGGAAUAGGACAUCAUAGAGGGUGAGAAUCCCGUAUUUGACCUUUACUUUCAACUUUGUGAUACACUUUCAAAGAGUCGGAUUGUUUGGGAAUGCAGUCCAAAAUGGGUGGUAAAUUUCAUCUAAAGCUAAAUAUUGGCGAGAGACCGAUAGCGAACAAGUACCGUGAGGGAAAGAUGAAAAGAACUUUGAAAAGAGAGUUAAACAGUACGUGAAAUUGUCAAAAGGGAAGCGUUUGACACCAGUGUUGUUUUUCUGAAAAUCAAUUAAAGAACUGUUUAUGCUAAGCUGUUUAGACUUUAUCAGCUAUCUGUUUAGUUUUGAGCUUUUCUUUAAUGCACUUUUCAGUUAACAAGUCAACAUCAAUUUCUUUUGCUGUAAAAAAGCUUGAGGAAGGUGGCUUGAGAUUCGUCUUAGGUGUUUAUAGCCUCUUGCCUAUGCAGUCGGAGAGAUUGAGGUCUGCAGCGUAGAUCCUUCGGGGCUAAAUGCAUUUGUGCUAAGUUAUAGCAUUUUAUAGACAACUUGUUGACUAUGAUUUGUCUUGUAGCUUACUCGCUUAUGUUAUUUUACCUACGCUUAGGAUGUUGAGCGCAUGUCUCUCUCU